UACAGAGGGUGCGAGCGUUGUCCGGAAUCACUGGGCGUAAAGGGCGCGUAGGCGGCUCAGUAAGGUUGCGGUGAAAGCCCGGGGCUCAACCCCGGGUCGGCCGUGGCAACUGCUGGGCUAGAGCACUGUAGAGGCAGGUGGAAUUCCGGGUGUAGCGGUGGAAUGGCGUAGAGAUCCGGAAGAACACCGGUGGCGAAGGCGGCCUGCUGGGCAGUAGCUGACGCUGAUGCGCGACAGCGUGGGGAGCAAACAGG
rnacentral:rRNA from 1 species